rnacentral:rRNA from 1 species
AUGACUGAGGGCACAAGAUACCGGUUAUCUAUCUCUAUGUGGGCCACUCUCAUCAAUGCCCCAAAGGAAGAUGAAAAUGACAUUGAUGUCCAUGGGAAGCCCAGAAUGGAUCACAACACUAUGGCACAUAUGUACAAGAACAUUCCUGAUGAGGCUUUGGAUACACACAAGUUUGGAUCCAUAUACUUUCUACUUGCUAGUCUGGCCACCAUAAACUAUUUCUUGAGGCAUACUUUGUUGCCCAAAUCUGGAGAUGAGAGGAUGAUUCGUGGCCACUUCAUCAACCUGCUCCACUUGUUUGACAUUCCACAGAAAUUCAAAGUCAUUAGCCUGAUUGUUAAGCUGAUCAGAAGAGGUCAUGUGCAUAUGCACCACACAUCCAGAUGCUUAUCAACUCCAAGGUUGGUAUAG